rnacentral:misc_RNA from 1 species
GUGAAUUGUUAUUUAUCAUUAACUCGGCAUGCUACGAGUGUAAGUACAAGCUAUCCUAUAACAACCUUCUAAUACAGUACUGUUUCAAAGUUCAGAAUUUAACUAUCUGUUGCACUCCAGGACUCUUUCAAACACAAAAGGCUAGCAAAUUAGAAAGAAUGUCUUUUGAGGUUUUCUUUACUGCACUGUGGGAUACAAUGUGAUAAGCUCACUUGUAAAAUGGACGUAUUUGGAAUUAAUGUCAAAAUACUAGUAGACCCUGACUAACUUUGGAACUCAUUCAUAUUUUUCAGAAUUCAAUUGUUAGAGGCUUGCAUAACUGUAGAGACAGUCACAGUUGCAUGUAACAAACUCGAUACUUGUCAAAUGGACGUUUUAAGUAAUUUCAGUGUCUAGUCACCCAAAAGACUAAAAUGGAGGAAUGUAUCAUCCACGGCCAAGAAGAAGAAGUAACAUCGCAAACUGUGCAUGAAUACUUCUCCAACUUCAUAAGAGCUCAAAAAGUUCUCAACAAAACAGCCCUAAAGGAGGGGGAAUCAACGUAUUCAUUUGAGGAGUUAGAUGCAGCAUCGGAUGAAAUAGCAACGCGAUUGCUAUCCGGUCAAGGAGAACGCUAUGCGAAGCAAGAAUCCCCUAUUGUUUGUAUCAUGAUACCACCAAGUAUACAAAGAAUAUGUGCCCUGUUUGGAAUAUUAAAAAGUGGCGCAGCAUACCUGCCACUUGAUCCAGGUAUACCUAGCCAAAGGCUGAUAACAAUGUUCGCUGAAACUGACCCCAUUUGCGUUGUUACAGUCAAUGAAUCGGAGACGGAGAAUAUUAAAGACGCGAUUCUUCAAUCAAAGAGAGAACUGGGAAUCGUAGCGUACGAUAGCCUGAUUGGUGAUAACCCGGGGACGAAUGAUGAACACAUAACUAACGGGCGCAAGUCUGAGCUUGCAAGUGUGUUAUACACAUCAGGUAGCACCGGGACGCCGAAAGGAGUGAAGUUGACACACAGAAAUAUAAUGAAUCGACUGAUGUGGCAAUGGCGGGAAUUUCCUUUCGAUGAUGAUGAUAUAGGUUGUCACAAAACAUCUCUACUAUUUGUGGACUCCUUGACUGAAAUCUUUGGUAGUUUACUACAGGGUGUUCCUAUUGUUAUCCUACAGAAAGGUGAAGUACAAAAUACGGAAACAUUAUUGAAAAUUCUCGUGAAAGAAAGGGUUACCAGAAUUACAACGGUUCCAUCUUUGUUGAAAAGCAUAGUUCUUUAUCAGAGCAUGUCAGAGAAUAAACUAAAAUCAAGUAUGCGCCUGGUAAUAUCAAGUGGGGAAAAGUUACCUUUCGAUGUCGCUGUAGAUUUUUUCAACGCAUUGUCCAACGAUAUCAAACUAGCUAACUUAUAUGGAAGCACAGAAACGCUCGGAGACGUAACGUUUAUAGUAUUUAACAAUGUUGAAGAAUUGAAAAAUGUUAUGGGGAAAGAACGGGACAGCGUUCCGAUUGGCGUGCCUAUCGCAAACUGUAUUACAUACCUUCUUGACGACAAUAAAAAUCCAGUGGGGUGCAAUAUCGUAGGAGAGCUAUAUGUGAGUGGUAUUAGUGUUACAAAUGGCUACGUAGAUUCUUUGAAAAAUAAUUCUUUCGUCCCAAAUCACCUGUUUGGAUCGGGAAAGAACGCAGCAGUACAUUCCACGCUGUAUAGAACUGGUGACUUUUGCUCGUUUAAAAAUGGUGUUCUUUGGUACGAGGGGAGAAGAGAUUCUCAAAUUAAGCUCAGAGGUCAUAGAAUUAAUACAAAGGAAAUUGAAAGAUGCGCCAGGUCGAUAGAAAACAUUGACUUUUCGGUAGUUUUACUUUGCAAUGAGCAAUUGGUAUUGUUUUACACGACAAAAACCAAAGAAAAUGAAGAUGAUAAACUUCUUGAAACACUUAUUUCAAACCUACCACCAUAUAUGCUUCCUAAGGUGUAUCACAUAUUAGAGCUUCCACUCAUGAAAGAGACGGGAAAAUUAGAUCGGAAACAGCUAGUCGAGCAUUACCAUGCCGUCCAAGUGAAUAACCCAGACAACCCUACAUUCGAUCAGACUUUAUCUGCCAUAGAGCGUGGAGUGAUUGAUGUCAUUUCUGGCGAAUUGUUACUUCAACCAUCGGGCUCGUACCUCAAUAUGAACUUCUUUAAAAUAGGGGGAAAUUCAUUAAAUGCUAUAUCAACAAUAGUAAAGCUCAAAAUUGCCGGGUACAGCAUCGAUUUUGCAGAUUUCCUGGAGUCAGGGACUAUAGGAGAUGUCGUCGAGCGAAUCAAACGAAACGAUGAGGGUGUGAAUGACUUUCAAUCAAAAUCAAAGAGGUACACCAUAAUGCCUAUGACUUCUGCAGACGAUAACGAGGAUGUAAUCCCAUUGGUUGCAAAGUCAUUCUCGACGAAAGUUGACCUUGAUGUUCUCGUUGAUUCAACGUUUGAAGACCUAGAGCUCCUCGUGAAGAGUGUUUGGAAGGAACUGAUAGAAGAAGAUUUGUCUCUCGUUGUUCGAGACAACGAAACUAACAAAAUUGUCGCUGCUGCAUUGAUCCUUGACAUACGAUCAACUGCAAAACCACUGUUUUUAAAAGAAGCUGUUGGUGCAAUAUUAGAAGACGUAGACUUGCCAGUCCGUGAGAAACUUCUUCAAAUGGGAGGUGAUUGGUUAGAUUCAUUCAUGAUAUCAACAGACACCAUGCUCCCCCACAGAGAGAAUAUGGUUUUACUACACAUGAUCGAAGAGGAAGUACUAAAACUUGCUAAAACGAAGGGAUGCAGGGGAAUACUUUCUGUGAACGCCCAUCAGGUGACAAUGGAUUUGGAUGAACAUUACUAUGGAUACACAGUUGAAAAAGUGAUUCACGUAAAAAGCUACAAAUGGAAUGGCACGACACCUUUCGAAGAAGCCAAGGAUGAUUACUAUCUCAAGACAAUGGUCAAAUACCUCUGAAGUUUAAAAUACUUAAGGCUAUAGACUACAAACUCAGUCAACACUUCAAACACCUGCAUAUGCCUUUCAUAUAACUGGUGUUACAGUGACGCGUAUUCAUGUCACUACUUUAUUGAAAUAAAAACAGGCUAAAAUAUAUUUCGGUCGAGGCUUUAUUAUUACAAUAAUGUAUGUCAUCUACAUACUACUGUCGUAGUUUAGUGCAUUAUGUUAUUAAUCUUCUUUUGCCUCUUUCUUUUCACACAACAUCUUAUACACAGAGUACUGGACGUCACCACUGCAACAAUUGCUGAAAUGUGCAGCUUGUUUUGCUUCAUUUACACUGUCGAAAAAGUUUCCGCAUCUUCUUCCUUCUGUAAAAUCCGUGCAGUCUUGGAGUUCUUGUGAUCCCUCGUCACAAACAUUCGUUUUCCUCUCGGCCACCGCCAUUGCCACCACCACCAAACCAAUCAAAACAGCUAUUGUUAGUUUUGCUGCAGUCAUAGUAGAAAGCUACAAUGGAUUUAAAAAAGAUCAUAGAAUUGAUUUUGACAUUACAGAUAUAUUAAGUAAAACUUGUAUCGGCUUUUGUUAAUGGUUGAUAGUAUGCCGAGUCACUCGAGUGGUCAUAGUUAUUGAAGAGUGGAAAACUAUGAAUAAAAACUCCCUGGAGGUUGAGAAACCUACACAUUUUCUAGAAAUGUUGUUUUUAUCGGUUACUUUCGCUAUGAAUAAAGCCUUUUAAAUCGGGUGUGAUGGUCGCAAUGUUUCAUAUAGUUUAAGAACUUAAAGACCUCUAAGGUCAC